rfam:Salinicoccus alkaliphilus DSM 16010 genome assembly, contig: EJ97DRAFT_scaffold00002.2
UUUAUGGAGAGUUUGAUCCUGGCUCAGGAUGAACGCUGGCGGCGUGCCUAAUACAUGCAAGUCGAGCGCGUCUUCAUGGGAGCUUGCUCCCGUGGCGACGAGCGGCGGACGGGUGAGUAACACGUGGGCAACCUGCCCAUCAGACGGGGAUAACCGCGGGAAACCGUGGCUAAUACCGGAUAAUCCUUUUCCACG